GAUGUUCUUUUCUCUACAUUUUUAGGUGUUUUUUUCACAUAAAGUAAUGAAAAUAAGAGUUAAGUACGAUUUUAGUCCAUGUAGUUUAGGCCGAAAUUAUUUUUGUCUCCAACUUUUUUUUUUACAUAUAAAAUUGUCUCUAAGGUUCAACUUGAUUUUAAAAUCGCCUUUCAGACAAUUAUACUCUCAAUAACACCAUCUCCAUUGCAACCCUGUUAUAUGUUCUUCUUCUGACUCGUACUUUCAGAAGAGAGAGAAGUAGAGACUCAGAGAGAAAAGCAGAAACCCAAAGAAAGAGAGAGAGAAGGAGAGAAAGAAGCCUUGCCCUUGCCCGCGCCUCGCCCUCGCCGUCACCCGCGCCUCGNNNUCGUCCUCGCCUCGCCUCACCGCGCUUGGCCCUCUCCUUUGCCUCGUGUUCCUUGCGUUUCCAGCAUCAUUGCCGCGUCUCCCUUACCCUUCUCUUCCUGCCUUUCACCAUCCAAACUCACUGCCACCACCACUAUGCAGCUCCACCGUCAUUAUUGCCAUCAUAGGUGGUGGUGUUCUGUUCUUGUUUCUAGAUUGUUGUUGCUUUUCUUGGUUCUUUGGUUUUUGUGAGAAAUUGGAGGAAGAACAAAAUGUUUGUUGUUUUUGUUAAUGUUUGUUUUGACGAUGAUGAUGAUGAUUUUCUUUGUUUGUUGGAGUGUUGUUGUUGAAUUGCUAUUUUGGUUUUGAUUUAUUUGAAAUUGUUGUUGAAAGUUGGAUUUUCUUGUUGGAUUCAUGAAGAGAUGGUAAUGGGGUAGUAGUGGGUAGGGUAGUGGUGAUGGUGGUGAUGAGAAGAGAGAAACGGGUAUUCGGCAGUAGUGG
rnacentral:lncRNA from 1 species